ensembl:lncRNA
AAUAUUCCUGCCAGGGUCAAAUUUCACAACUGCUCACUUUGGUGUUAGUCAUUGGUAUGGAAACCACGAUUUGCAAAUAUGCAAAUGACUUUGCCUUCUAUGAAAUUGUGAAGGGCAUGGCGACACCGAGAGAAAUGCCAGAGAACUGGGUCCCUCAUGAUUAAGAUCCACAUCCUUUCCCAGGUGAGUUAGUCUCCAGAGACUUUUCAUCUUACUGAUGCUUUCCUGGAUGCUCAUCGCCGGCAAAUGACAAAAAGCAUCCUGAAGUGGCUCUAUGAGCAGACCGCAUUUAUUUAUUUCAGGGACAUGUUUAUUACCGCAGCCUUGGCUACUGCAGGUGUUCAAAUUUCCUCUUUGUACUCUAAUGGAUCUCCUCUCAAUGAUUUACUGACAAACAAUUCCUACCAAGGGACAUAUAUGAUUUAUUCUAAGUUACUCCAUUGCAGAUCACAAAGCCAGAAAAAGAACCAGCCAUUCAUUGUGUGUUUUUCAAGACAGGAAAGCAAUGAGCAUGUCCAACGAACCACUGAGCAUAAUUGUUUCCUAACACCCCAGAGGGUUUCUUUAUCCCAAUACUGAGCGACCUUUACGCAAAUGCAAGUCAUGUGUGAGACAAGGGCCUGCUCUGAAACAUGCAUUAGAAGACUCACAAAGCCUUUGUGUGAAUCCACCCAUGCAGCAAAUAGAACAACGGCAGGUUUUUCCUUAUAGCGCACCAUCAGAAGAGCCAUGUCAGUGUCAGCCUGGUGAGCUUUCUGUGAUCACAAAUGCUUGGAAUGUCUAAUUAGCACCAAAGAGAAUAAUUCAAGCAGAGCACAUGACAGCUGAUGAAUCCUUUAUGGAUUCUUGGCUUUUAUACUCAAAUAUGAAGAACUUCCUGGUGAGAGUGUUCAGUGCUGAGAAUGCUUAUUAAAUUCCAAUGAAAUGCCUGAAUUUGAACUGAAUUCGAAUUGAGGCUGAAAAACAGCAUGGAGAAUUGUAAUUUGAAUUUGAAUUUGAAUUUAAGAAACAAUUUAAAAUGGUUAGUUUUAAACAGAAAAGCAAGGCUUGUCAAGACAAACUUUAAAGUUUUAUAAAAGUUUAAAGGUUUUAUAGGCCAUAAAAAACAGAUUUGUAAAAUCACAGAUACUUUAUAAAUGUGAACUUAUUUGAAUUCAUGCAGAUUUAUUUUUAUAUAAUAUUUGGACACAUUUUUAUAAGAAGCACAUCAAGUUUACAUUUUAUAUUUAGCUAAUUCAUCAUCACAUAAUGCCAUUACCUGUUGAAUUAUAAUUCAGUACAACACUUCCUGUAAUUCCUAUUCAAAUUGUGCUUACACUUUAUAUUCAUGACCCCCUUUAGAAAUUGUUGAUUAUAGGUAACUUUGCAUGUAAACUGACUCUCACUGAAGUGUAAGUAGAGUAUUAGGAGACUGUUAGGUCAGGGUUAGGAUAAAAUAAGUUGACAUGUAGUUGCAAAGUUAUUUGUAGUCAUCAUAAUGUCUGAUGGGGACCAUCAAAAUAGUGUUACCCAAAUUUCAGUUAAACUUCCUGUGGUACAUAUCCAAUUCAACUGAAAUUAANUUUUUUUUUUUUUUUUUUUUUUUUUUUUUUUUUUUUUACAUUUUGGCCAGUCAUAACAGAAAAUAAAAGCAGAAUAUGAGUAUAUACUUUACA